rnacentral:ribozyme from 1 species
AAGAAAAAAAAAUAUCAUUCAUUUUAUUGUAUUUUAUUCCAAUCGUGUAAAUUUUAUUAAUUUUUCAGAAUAA